rnacentral:rRNA from 1 species
UACGUAGGUGGCAAGCGUUGUCCGGAUUUAUUGGGUUUAAAGGGUGCGUAGGCGGUCUUAUAAGUCAGUGCUGAAAUAUCCCGGCUUAACCGGGAGGGUGGCAUUGAUAAUGUAGGACUUGAGUAGAGUUGAGGUUGGCGGAAUUGACGGUGUAGCGGUGAAAUGCUUAGAUAUCGUCAAGAACACCGAUAGUGAAGACAGCUAACUAAGCUCUAACUGACGCUGAGGCACGAAAGUGUGGGGAUCAAACAGG